rnacentral:lncRNA from 1 species
ACAGCCUCUCCAUAUGACUGCUGCCCUCAGACACCAGACGAGUACAUGGCAGAUGAUGAAGAUUCAGAGACAAUGAGCAAGAAUACUGAGGUGUCAGACAAGUCUCUAAUCAGCUCUUUGGAGAAUGGCAAAAAUGUCAUCAGUGAUGAUGAAAAAGACCAGGAGGAAGUGUGAACGUGGGGCCCGAGUUGAAAAGGCUCUCAUCUGAAUCCCUGAAGACCUGGACCUGGACCCCAUCCUGGACCCCAGAGGCGGUGGAGCCCACACAGCACGAGGAGCCUCAUUUGGAUCAGAUUAGGGGAGGCCUCACUGCUUCUUUCCUGAGGGCCCUCAUUUAGUACAGCUUCAGUUGUUUUGUUGUAUAGAUUUAGUAUUAGUUUUAUCUAGUUUUAUCUACAAGUUCUGUAUGUAUCUGUAUGUUCAAUGUUUAUAGGUAAGGUUUUUCAUUAAAGGUUUAAAAUCUAUUUGUUAUUUUUACAAAAUAUU